rnacentral:rRNA from 1 species
CACGUAGGGGGCGAGCGUUGUCCGGAUUUAUUGGGCGUAAAGAGCUCGUAGGCGGCUCGGUAAGUCAGGUGUGAAACCUCCAGGCUCAACCUGGAGACGCCACCUGAUACUGCCGUGGCUAGAGUCCGGUAGAGGAGCGUAGAAUUCCCAGUGUAGAGGUGAAAUUCGUAGAUAUUGGGAAGAACACCGGUGGCGAAGGCGGCUAUCUGGACCGACAUUGACGCUGAGGCGCGAAAGCGUGGGGAGCAAACAGG